rnacentral:rRNA from 1 species
CCUACGGGAGGCAGCAGUGAGGAAUAUUGGUCAAUGGACGGAAGUCUGAACCAGCCAUGCCGCGUGCGUGAAGACGGCUCUAUGAGUUGUAAACUGCUUUUGUACGAGGGUAAACCUGAAUGGGUGUAUUCAGCUAAAAGUACGGUACGAAUAAGGAUCGGCUAACUCCGAGCCAGCAGCCGCGGGAAUAAGGAGGAUCCAAGCGUUAUCCGGAUUUAUUGGGUGUAAAGGGUGCGUAGGCGGCUUGAGAAGGUGGAGGUGAAAUGGCCGAGCUUAACUCGGGAACUGCCUCUAAUACUGUUGAGCUAGAGAGUAGAUGCGGUAGGCGGAAUGUAUGGUGUAGCGGUGAAAUGCUUAGAGAUCAUAAAGAACACCGAUUGCGAAGGCAGCUUACCAAUCUAUAUCUGACGUUGAGGCACGAAAGCGUGGGGAGCAAACAGGAUUAGAUACCCCAGUAGUC